AAGCAGCAUCAUUUUGAACACUCAAAGAUAUAUGGGGAGGACAAAUAGAAGUUUUUUUUCUUAUUUGCUUUCAAUUGCUAUGUUAAAUAUUGUCUUCCCAGAAAAAGAAAAUCUAAUUGUAUGAGAAUAGGAGAUAUUACCGUAGCUCCCUUUCAGAAUUUCUUCAUCAGAAACCUAGAGAGUUUCAAGAAAAAACUACAAAGCUUUACUCCACCUAACCACGCUGAGCUCCCAAGUUUACUUGGAUAUGGACAUAUCAGGUUCAGAAACAGAAUAUUAAGUGUGAAUUGUAAUGUAAGGUCCUCUUCCUUGGAAUUGCUUCAUCACUCUCUUAAAGACCAACUUCUGCGUAAUUUUUACCAACGAACAGCAGAUUUCAGAACGCAGAGGUGAAGAUUUAAUGUUGGGCAGAUGGAAUCUUCUCUACCCUAUGGGAAGAACUCUACGGCCCAUUCUAGCUGUACCAGGUCUAUUGCCUUGCUUAAGAUGUCAAAUCCUUCCUUCGUCUGAUGACUCAGUCUCACAGACGAGAGCUGUGAGUAGAAGAUCGUUUUAGCCAGGGUGGGGCAAUGGGAUUAAUAUGCAUUUCUUUAAAAUUUUCUCAAAUGUAACACCCAUGUUAAUGGUAAAUCCCAGAAUACCAUUAGUACAGAAGUCAAUAAAGCUCAU